rnacentral:lncRNA from 1 species
AGGGAGUUAGCGUCGCCGCGUUUUCCCCUCUUUCCUGGUACAUUUGUGGAUGCCUGUUUGCUUUUUCGUUGCAUCUGGGGAUUAAAGACACCGGUUUCCUGUCGUCGGAAGGCAGAUUUCUUCCCGCUGUGUGUCUACUUCUCGGCCCGUCGCCUCCGGCACCCUCCUCUGUCCUUGGGCUCCACGGCAUCUCGGCAGUUUGCUCCACGUUUUUCGUGCUUUUUGCAUGAACUCAGGCACGCCCAAUGGGAACUUCCCCAAGAGCUGCAGGGUUCGUCAGGCGCAAGUCAUUCGAGGCAAAAGUAUGCUCGCGAGUGAACGAAUCUGACAGCGCCUCUAGAUACGCAGCGAAUGUGUGGCGUCUGAGAAGAAAUGUUCACCGCGGGGAGUCCGCGGAACCUUCCUCAUCGCUUUUCCUGCUUUGUCAGGCAACCGUUCGCCAGGACUCCCGCAGGAAGCGAGAGAUGACGGUGUGUGGCAUGCCAAGCGCUAAGCCACGCAAACCCGGAUGAAGUAUGGCCAUGUGUGCAUCUGCGGUGGUACUCGGUUACGGGUUGUAGAGCGAACUUCGCGGGUAAACUCACCCGACGCCACCCUUACGCAGCAAGAAUGCACUCUCGGGGACUACUCGCAGAUGCAGUGCAAACACCGAGUAAGGAGGCACGUGGGCGUCUCUGCGUUCUCGGUCCCUCGCAGUUGUGAAUAAGAGCGAACCCGUCCGAAGCCGUGUAGAUCGUGAUCGAUUCUGAGCUAAAAGUGACCUCGAAAGCAUUCGGAAUCCCUCUCGGCCGAACGCUGAGUGGUUUCCAUAGCAACUGGAAACAACGGAACCAUUCCACAGAGGCAGUCGACAUGAAGAGGCUCUCUGCGUUGUGCGCGCGCUUAGUGGAGCCAGCGCGAAUGCUACAGGCGCCGUCGGUAUGUAGGAUCUCCCAGAGAAUUUGCACAGCUUUGUUCGUAGCCCGUGAACCCACGGGAGCACCGGUCGACCAGGCGUCCUCGGAGAAAGAAAGGCAGGAACGUUGCACGCUCCAUCACACGCAGAUUUGCGCCUCUCUCUCCGCUCAGAUCAGGACAUCCGGGGUUUAAGAUACGUCAGCCGGCGGGGGAGCUCUAGUCUGAAAGUUUCCGUGCCGCGUGGAGGCUGCCGUGUACUCUGCCGACUUUGGACAGCUUUCCGAGUUCUUUUUGCCUGAAAGAAAGGCCACGGUGACUCAGAGCAGCAGGGGUAUACGUGCAGAAGGCCUGCUGCAGCCAAGUCACGCAAAUCGGCUCGUUUUUUCCGUCUGCAAGAACAACGCGAGAGCCGUCUUGGUUGCGCCGACCCGUCAGGUACGAGAGGGCCCUCCACCAGAAACGGGACGACGCAGCGUGCAGAGACGUCCCUGUGUCGGCCUUUCGGUUUUCUCGUGGUACCGCCUACGUGGCCUCGCCGAAAUGGUGCGGCCAUGCGCCAGCAACGGUAUUCCCGCGUCUCCACAAGGCGCGCUCUCAAAAGAGAUCACUGGCGUCUGAGUAUUUCUUUCCUGCAGGGGCUUGGAGGCUCCGCGUCACAGACGCGUCGUUACCCCCACAGGCAUGCGAGACCGAGCGUCCGCGUACGCCGUCUGAACUGACCGGCGCAAGGAGUCACCCCGGAACCGUGCUUGUUCGUCCUGUGUACGGACCUGUUUUCACGGCAUCUGUUCACAAAGAAAAACGCGCAGCCCUCCUUCGGCAGCCUUCUCCAGUGUGCACCGGCAAAGCACGAAACGUUCUCAGGAGCAUGGUUCCUGUCGCGCAGGACUGCGGCCGCGCGAAGCGAGAAAAAACCCUCGCUCAGAACCGAUCCUGCACGACCAGGACAGCGAAACUCUCCC